rnacentral:pre_miRNA from 1 species
CGGGGGAGGCCGGAUCCUGGGCUGUGUCCCGGCGCCCUGUGCUCCGGAGCCUGCGCUGGUAGAUUCGCUUCCGCCCGGUAGCCCCCU